GUGAGGAAACAGAAGCACUGAGAGGGAACACUUUGCUUGAGGUCCCAGAGGCUGGAGGUGGAGGAGCUGGGACUGGAACCUGGCAGCAGUCAUGCUGGCCCUCUCCAAGCUAACGAAAGGAAGAAGUUAGAAAUGAAGAUGUUUCCUGGGGCUGGGCGGUGAGAAGAGGAGGAAAGAGAUGCUGACUUCCAAAGACAGCUGCAAAGUACAGCUGUGGCUUCAGAGCAAGGCAGAGAUAUCAGAACCGGCUGCCUGGAGGAGGAGGAGAGCAUCAACAAAAUUGAGGGGUAAAAUCUGGGCAGGCAGAGCCCAUCGCGGAAAUCACUCUAAGGCAGGGGUCCCACAUGAGCAGAAGGCUACCAAGUGGGUGGCAGCAUGGCGUGCCGGAGCACAGAAAGGGGUGUAAGGGGUAAGGCUGUGACCAGGCUGCAGGGGCACAGCUAGGGUAUGAGCUGCUUCCCCGUGCCCACCCAGACUGGGGGAGGGGUGGCGCAUCCUUGCCUCUCCAGUGGACCCCCCAACAAAGCAGCUCACAGGCUUUUGGGCACAUUUUGCCAUCUAGCAACAAAUUUCGUGCUUAUUAACCUAAGUGAUAAGAGGAUGAAAGUAACCAGCUUUCUGGGGAGCCAACCCAGGACACAGCCAUGCCAGACCCCCGAAAUCCCCAAACAUGAUAAUACAGAAUUAUGUACAUGUAUGUCAUUACCUUAACAUGAAUAUGUUGUUACUUUAACAUCAAUGUAUUAAGAAACAAGUAUUUCUUCAAAAUGACAUAUUAUUGUAUACUUUCUGUAUAUUAAGUUUUAUUGAGAUAUAAUUCACAGAGCAUAUAACUGACCCAUUUAAGUACAAUUCAGUGGUUUUCAGUAUAUUUACACUGAAUAUACUGUGUGCAACCAUCACCACAACCAAUUUUGAACGUUUCCAUAACCUCAGAAAGAAAUCCUGUACCCGACUGCAGUCAUUUCUGUCCCCCUCCAACCCCCCGGCCCCAGGCAAACACUAAUCUACUUUCUGUCUCCACGGAUUUGCCUAUCCUGGACAUGUCAUAUACACAGAAUCAUGUGAGCUUUUGUGGCUGGUUUCUUUCACUUAGCAUGUUUUCAAGGUUCAUCAGUGUUGUCACAUGAACCAGUACUUUAUUCCUUCCUAUGGUCAAAAAGUAGUCCACCGUAUAGAUAUACCACAUUUCAUUUAUCCAUUCAUCAGCAGAGGGAACGUUCAGGUUGUUUUCACGGUUUGGCUAUUACGACUAAUGACACUGACGUACAAGCCGCCGUGUGGACAUACGUUUUCAUUUCUCUUGGGCAGAUACCUAGGAGGAGAACUGCUGGGUCAUAGGGUAACCCAAUUACCAUAUCACAGCAGACAUCACUAGGCUGUCUGAUCUUUCGAGGAAACGUCAAACUGUUUAACAAAGCAGCUGUGUCAUUUUACAUUCCCACGAGCAGUGUCUGAGAGUUCCAAUGCUUCCACACCCUCGCCAACACCAGUCAUUAUCUUUUUUACUACAGCCGUCCUAGUGGGUGUGAAGUGCUAUCUCACUGUGGUUUUGAUUUGAAUUUCCUAAUGACUAACGAUGCUGAGCAUCUUCUCAUGUGCUUACUGGCUAUUUGUAAUUUUUGGAGAAAUGUCCAUUUAGAUCCUUGUCCCAUUUUUUAAAUUGGGUUAUUAUUGAGUUUUUUUCUAAGAGCUCUUUAUGUAUUUUGAAUUCAAGUCCCUUAUCAGAUACAUGAUUUGUGAAUAUUUUCUCCAUUGUGUGGUUUGUCUUUUUACUUCCUUGACGGUGUCCUUUGAAGCACGAAUCUUAAUCUCCGAUGAAGUCCAGUUUGUCUACUUUUUUCUUUUGCUACUUGUGCUUUUGGUCUUGCAUCUAAGAAGGCUUUGCUUAACUCAGGUCAUGAAGAUUUACUCCUGUGUUUACUUCAAGUGUUUUGUAGUUUCAGCUCUAACAUUUAGAUCUAUGGUCUACUUUGUUUUAUUUUUUAUUAUUUUUUAAUUUAUUUUUGAGACAGGUUCUCACUCUGUUGGCCAGGCUGGAGUGCAGUGGCGUGAUCUUGGCUCACUGCAACCUCUGCCUCCUGGGUUCAAGCGAUUCUCAUGCAUCAGCCUCCCAGCUACUCAGGAGGCUGUGGUGGGAGGAAUCCCUUGAGCCCCAGAUGCUGACGCUGCAGUGAGCCAUGACUGUGACACUGCCCUCUAGACUGGGUGACAAACACCCUAUCUCUAAAUAAACAUACAAACAUAAACACAGUAGGAUUAAUGAAACAAACAUUACUAAUAUUUAAAUAAAAAAUAACAAUGUUUCUUUCUGCCCUAGGACACAUUAGAACAUUCUGCUCUGCUUCCUUUCCCACUGGUCUCUGAAUUGCCUGAAGCCUUUAUAGCCUUUAGGACAUCCUUUUUAAAAAAGAAAAAAAAAAAGAGGUGGAGUCUGGCUCUGUCAUCCAGGUUGGAGUGCAGUGGCAUGAUCAUGGCUCACUGCAGCCUUAAGUUCCUAGGCUCAAACAAUCCUCCCACUUCAGCCUCCCAAGUAGCUGACUACAGGCAUACACCACUGCACCCAGCUUAGAACAUCUUUCUUUUAAAUGCACUGGUAAAACGGAAUAUAGUCAAACUUAAAACCCAUUUGACUUGUCACUCUGUUUACUCAAAGCCCAUGUUACACUGACUCCUGGUGUCAACCAAAUACGGUAACACCAAACUAAAUAUCCUUUCCACACAACCCUUACACACAAAGUACUUCGGCUUUUACUUAUAAGCAUGGGUUUUGGGACUUGUAGGAAUUCAUGUCCAUCUCUCCAAAGAUGUCCAUCCAUUUUUGUCCAGGGGCUGGCUUUGGUGGACCAGCUGCUUGUCAAUCAGGCCUUUGCAUCUGUUUCAUCAGAUGGGCUAUCCCUGUCUAAGAUGUCCAGCUUUUUUUUUUUUUUUUGAGACAGAAUCUCACUCUGCUGCCCAGGCUGGAGUGCAAUGGCACGAUCUCUGCUCAUUGCAACCUCCACCUCCCAGGUUCAAGCGAUUCUCCUGACUCAGCCUCCUGAGUAGCUGGGACUACAGGCGUGUGCCACCAUGCCCGGCUAAUUUUUUUUUUUGAGAUGGAGUCUCACUCUGUCACCCAGGCUGGAGCGCAGCGUUGCAAUCUCAGCUCACUGCAACCUCCGCCUCCCGCGUUCAAGCAAUUCUCCUGCCUCAGCCUCCUGAGGAGCUGGGAUUACAGGCACCAGCCACCACGCCUGGCUAAUUUUCGUAUUUUUAGUAGAGACGGGGUUUCACCAUGUUGGUCAAGCUGGAACUCCUGACCUCAAGUGAUCCUCUCACCUCGGCCUCCCAAAGCGCUCAGAUUACAGGCGUGAGCCACCGUGCCCGCCCAGAUGUCCAUCAUUUUUUUAACACUCCAAAGCACAAUGGAUGUUAUAAAUUAAAAUUAUUAAAAAAAAUGAUUUUAAAGCACAGAGGUAAUCUGAAGUUGCAAAAUCCAAGUUGGAUUCCAAAUAUGUUACAGUUUUAAUGAAGAAAUUGAGAAAGUCCUGUUUAACUUGACUGCCUUUUCUGGUGACAUUUUUUGAGUUCUCAAGCAUUAAAUGGUGUAUGAGGUUUUGUGGCCGCCUCUCCGUGAUACCCAACAAACCAAGUGUGGCUGGCUAGCCCCAUCUAGGCUCCUCGGGGCUCCUUAAGGAGCAUCAGAGAGUACUGGCAAAACAGUAUAUACAUUUCUAUUUUAUUUUUUAUGUAUUUUUUUUUUUUUUUGAAACGGAGUCUCAUUCUGUCACCCAGGCUGUAGUGCAGUGGUGUGAUCUUGGCUCACUGCAACCUCCGCCUCCCAGGCUCAAGUGAUUCUCCUGCUUCAGCCUCCCGAGUGGCUGGGACUACAGACAUGCACCACCACACCUAGGUAAUGUUUGUAUUUUUUAGUAGACAUGGUGUUUUACUAUGUUGGCCAGGCUGGUCUUGAACUCCUGACGGACCCCAAGUGAUCUGAUCACCUUGGCCUCCUAAAGUGCUGGGAUUACAGGUGUGAGCCACUGCACCCAGCCUAUGUAUUUUUUAUUUUUAUUUUUUUGUUGCUGAGAUGGUGAGGAUGUCUUGCUCUGUUACCCAGGUUGGUCUUGAAUUUGUGGAUUUAAGUGAUCCUCCCACCUUGGCCUCCCAAAGUGCUUGGGUUACAGGCGUAAGCCAACGUGCCUGGCCUGUAUUUUAUUGUAAUUCCUUUUUCCAUUCUCAUCUCAAUGCAUUUCCAAAUUAGAGAAGGACAUCCUUCUUGUCUCACACUUUAAAAAAUAGCAGUUUUCACGGCAAGCCAACAUUUGAACAUCUUUUCUAUGGCCAGCAAUGAUAGUCAUCUUGUGGAAACGUGUCUGAGGCAUUCUCCUGUCUGUAAAGUCAAAGAUCUCAUUAAGUGCUUUGGCAUGUUUUGAGGAAACUGAAAGGUGACCCAAAACUUUCAUUAUGAAAGCUGGUAUCACAGGUAAGCAAAUUACACCCCUUUGUGACAGUGUCGGGUACGAGGUGUGAACAUUUAGCAGGUAAGAUGUUUUCAUUUUCAUUGGUAAGAAGCUUAUGGACUAAAUGAAAUUUGCUCAAAUUAACUGUGUACUGUCUGCCAAAUAUGUAGAUAAAUGAGCAAAGUCUAGGUUGUAUUUGGACAAGAGAACAACAAUCUCUUACGUCUUCAGUGGCUUCACUAAAAUCUUCACAGAAAUCGAGAAGACGGUUUGAAACUCCAGUUUUCAAAUCAACAUACCUAAGAGCCAGCCAAAACCUGUUGCCAUGACUUGAGGCAGCCCUUGACGCACUUGGAAGCACGAAUACUGGAAGGAUCAGACAGGGUCAGCACUACCGUGAAGGGGCAAUGCAUCUGUUACCAAAGCCCCUCUUCCCUUUGGUUCACACACAGGACUUUUAGUCUGUAACCUCUGAAUCAGGAAAUGUAACCUUCUUGGUUUGUGGUGCAAUCAAGGGAACAAGAUGAUAAUGGCAUCCAUUCAAGGAGUAUGCCCAAGCUAAUUCUGCGACCGCUGUUUUUGACUGAGAACUGCUGUCUUUGGAGGUCAAAAAAACCUUGAUUUAGAAAGAUAUGCCUCAGACUUGAGAGACUCAAUGUCCAAUGUGCCUCCACCUCCCCUUCUCCACAUGCCCAAUCCCAAAUUCUUUUCUGCACACUGCACAGUACAUUCUGUUUGGGUUCUUUCCUCUCUAAUCCAGUUGUGUGUGUCCUUGCAUCUGUCAUUAAAGUAACACGGUCAUUUAACCUUCUUUCCCAGUGAUGCCUGGGUCACGCUGGUGCUGUCAUUGUCACCAUUCUCAUUUUCAUCAUCUGAACUCUUAGGAAAUACGGUCACAACAUUCACGAUGUCAAGACUGAAACCAGCACCGUCUAGACAAAAAGCUCAACACUGAAUCUGCAGCAGACUCCUAGGCGGGUGCUACUAACGUGCAUGACUGCAGCGCGUGGAGUUGCAGCCUGAAUGAUGUAAUCCAUGGUGAAUCACAAGUCCUGAUGCCAGCAUCCACGUCAGGAAACAUGGCGACAGUGACCACUCGAGGCAGAUCGUCCACGCCAUUUCCAUCCAAUGCUACAAACAGUGCUGUCAUCCCUCUGUGUGGGUUUUAUACUUUCCACCCAACCUUCUGCAUCACUGACAAAACCCAGGGCUUUUUGUGUCCUGGGAUUCCUCAGGAUGUGGGGCUUUUAGUGUUAAAAGCCAGAUGGUUGGUCACACCAGUGAGGACCCUGGCAAAGGAGGCAGGCCAGAAACCAUCCCUCAGAGGGCUGCUGGGAGAGAAAAUAUAGGCAAUAUCCAGCACGGGGCAGCCCGCGCUUGGGGUUUAACACGUGGGAUGAUCCGGGUGUCACCUCAGGAACGGAGCCAACAAAACCAGAGUGCCCCAAAAGGCCCCACCCCCUCAACCAGGCCAAAGCCUUGCACUUUAGGGCCCCAGGCCCACUCUCUGGCUCUACAGUCUGUAGACCUCCUUUUCAGACCCUGAGCUCCUGGAGGGGCAAGGCUGAACAGGUUCACCUGAGGCCUGCAUGGAGGAGGAAGGGAAAGAACUAGAAUGGAAGGGUUGCCUGUGGAGGGGAAGCAGAUCAGGCCCUGACCUUGGGCAACGCCCGCUGGGUGAGGAGACAGGCUGUAGCUGACUAACCAAGUCCCAUCCAGUGGGUGCAGGGGACACGGGAGGAAGUGGGGCAAGCAGGAAUCAGAAAUGGGGAAAUGUGAGCUGCAACAUCACCCAAGGGCUGCAACUCUGAGACGCAAAGAAGCUGCCAGGUAUUGGGAGUUCCAGAGCUCCUGGCAGCAGCACAGGCAGGCGGGUCCCCCAGCGAGCCGUGUCCCCUUGCUGCUGGCUCCACCCUCAGCUCCACAGCCCCAGAAACAGGCCCAGGAGGAGAGGGAUUGCCCGGGCCAGCACAGCCAGUCAGCUGGGCAGAGACCAGGCCAGACCCCACCUGCAGCCUGGCGCUUCCCCCACCAGCACAGCAGGAGGUGGCAAGUCCCAGCAGCACAGCGGGCGCCCUGGCUCUAACCAGAGGGUGAGCAUCGUCCCACCCCUUCCUCUCCCACCCCCUGCCGCCUAUGAAAUGGGAACUGAGUUGCCCAAGAGUUAAUCACUUUUCUGACGGUUUAUUUUAUUCAUCUUUGGUAACAAAUGGCUGAAAUCAAUUAAACUUGCUUUCCCCUCAGCUGAUGAAGUUAAUUAUGAUUUGUUAUGGUGUCUGAUAUGUAAAUUAUUAGAAAGCAGACUUACGUUGGACCGGCUGCCUCCAGGUGGCACCGGAUUAAUCAUUGUGUAGAUGUUGUCACUGGAAUUUGUUGAAUCUGUAGAACAGUGAAAACCCACAAGUCGGGGUGAUUAAUUCGUUUCUUAAUUAAAACAAACUCAUGGCACUUGAA